AGGCCGAAAGGCGUAGUCGAUGGGAAACGGGUUAAUAUUCCCGUACUUGGUGUUACUGCGAAGGGGGGACGGAGAAGGCUAUGUUGGCCGGGCGACGGUAGUCCCGGUUUAAGCGUGUAGGUGUGUGUUCCAGGUAAAUCCGGUUCACUUUAACACUGAGGCGUGAUGACGAGGCACCACGGUGCUGAAGCAACAAAUGCCCUGCUUCCAGGAAAAGCCUCUAAGCAUCAGGUAACAUCAAAUCGUACCCCAAACCGACACAGGUGGUCAGGUAGAGAAUACCAAGGCGCUUGAGAGAACUCGGGUGAAGGAACUAGGCAAAAUGGUGCCGUAACUUCGGGAGAAGGCACGCUGACACGUAGGUGAAGUGAUUUACUCAUGGAGCUGAAGUCAGUCGAAGAUACCAGCUGGCUGCAACUGUUUAUUAAAAACACAGCACUGUGCAAACACGAAAGUGGACGUAUACGGUGUGACGCCUGCCCGGUGCCGGAAGGUUAAUUGAUGGGGUCAGCGCAAGCGAAGCUCCUGAUCGAAGCCCCGGUAAACGGCGGCCGUAACUAUAACGGUCCUAAGGUAGCGAAAUUCCUUGUCGGGUAAGUUCCGACCUGCACGAAUGGCGUAAUGAUGGCCAGGCUGUCUCCACCCGAGACUCAGUGAAAUUGAACUCGCUGUGAAGAUGCAGUGUACCCGCGGCAAGACGGAAAGACCCCGUGAACCUUUACUAUAGCUUGACACUGAACAUUGAGCCUUGAUGUGUAGGAUAGGUGGGAGGCUUUGAAGCGUGGACGCCAGUCUGCGUGGAGCCGACCUUGAAAUACCACCCUUUAAUGUUUGAUGUUCUAACGUGGACCCGUAAUCCGGGUUGCGGACAGUGUCUGGUGGGUAGUUUGACUGGGGCGGUCUCCUCCUAAAGAGUAACGGAGGAGCACGAAGGUUGGCUAAUCCUGGUCGGACAUCAGGAGGUUAGUGCAAUGGCAUAAGCCAGCUUGACUGCGAGCGUGACGGCGCGAGCAGGUGCGAAAGCAGGUCAUAGUGAUCCGGUGGUUCUGAAUGGAAGGGCCAUCGCUCAACGGAUAAAAGGUACUCCGGGGAUAACAGGCUGAUACCGCCCAAGAGUUCAUAUCGACGGCGGUGUUUGGCACCUCGAUGUCGGCUCAUCACAUCCUGGGGCUGAAGUAGGUCCCAAGGGUAUGGCUGUUCGCCAUUUAAAGUGGUACGCGAGCUGGGUUUAGAACGUCGUGAGACAGUUCGGUCCCUA
rnacentral:rRNA from 1 species